CCUUAUUGAUCACUCACAAUCUCCAUGCUUACAUCAGUACAUCCAAAAUAUCCCAUACAAGAAUUAGAGAAUCAAGUUAGAAAGUGAGCCAAAAUAUAGAUUCAUAUACACAAGGUACCAUGGAGAUCUCAAGUCAAAAGAUCACUUACAUAACUCCCACUAGAGAACCAUCAACUGAUAUGUAAAUAAGAUUCCACUAGAUGUUCUCUCAUAGAUCUAUUUAGUGAACUCAUUCUCUAAUGAGCACCCACAUCUUUGUAUUAGUAUCACCACACAAGUGGUUGUGAAAUCAACCACCCUCAUCAC
rnacentral:lncRNA from 1 species